ACUCCUACGGGAGGCAGCAGUAGGGAAUCUUCCACAAUGGACGAAAGUCUGAUGGAGCAACGCCGCGUGAGUGAAGAAGGGUUUCGGCUCGUAAAACUCUGUUGUUAAAGAAGAACAUAUCUGAGAGUAACUGUUCAGGUAUUGACGGUAUUUAACCAGAAAGCCACGGCUAACUACGUGCCAGCAGCCGCGGUAAUACGUAGGUGGCAAGCGUUGUCCGGAUUUAUUGGGGCGUAAAGCGAGCGCAGGCGGUUUUUAAGCUGAUGUGAAAGCCUUCGGCUCAACCGAAGAAGUGCAUCGGAAACUGGGAAACUUGAGUGCAGAAGAGGACAGUGGGAACUCCAUGUGUAGCGGUGAAAUGCGUAGAUAUAUGGAAGAACACCAGUGGCGAAGGCGGCUGUCUGGUCUGUAACUGACGCUGAGGCUCGAAAGUAUGGGUAGCAAACAGGAUUAGAUACCCUGGUAGGAUAGCG
rnacentral:rRNA from 1 species